ACAAUUAGCUGUUGGGACACUAGAUGUCUUAGUAGCGAAGCUAACGCGUGAAAUUGUCCGCCUGGGGAGUACGGUCGCAAGAUUAAAACUCAAAGGAAUUGACGGGGACCCGCACAAGCGGUGGAUGAUGUGGAUUAAUUCGAUGCAACGCGAAGAACCUUACCUGGUCUUGACAUGUACGGAAUCUCUUAGAGAUAGGAGAGUGCCUUCGGGAACCGUAACACAGGUGCUGCAUGGCUGUCGUCAGCUCGUGUCGUGAGAUGUUGGGUUAAGUCCCGCAACGAGCGCAACCCUUGUCAUUAGUUGCCAUCAUUAAGUUGGGCACUCUAAUGAGACUGCCGGUGAUAUGCCGGAGGAAGGUGGGGAUGACGUCAAGUCCUCAUGGCCCUUAUGACCAGGGCUUCACACGUCAUACAAUGGUCGGUACAGAGGGUAGCGAAGCCGCGAGGUGAAGCCAAUCUCAGAAAGCCGAUCGUAGUCCGGAUUGCACUCUGCAACUCGAGUGCAUGAAGUCGGAAUCGCUAGUAAUCGCAGGUCAGCAUACUGCGGUGAA
rnacentral:rRNA from 1 species